rnacentral:lncRNA from 10 species
CAGCUCCCUGUCCCGACAUGGUAGUUCAUUUACCCAGGCGUCUAUCACCCUUGGAGAGCAUGUAACUUUCAGCCUGUACUUACCUGUCUGCCGAGAGCGCCGUGAGUGUGAAGACAGACACCCCAACAGAGGUAACACCUGGUAAGUAGAAUGGAUGGAGAAGAGGAAGAAAAGAAAACCACCCCAAAGACAAAAGAAAACAGAAGAGGAAGACCAGAAAAGUUUCAGAGCAUGUUAAGGCUACCAGUAAUAUGUCAAGAAUCUGCACCCAGCAUUGCUUUUAUCUGACUGCCAACUCUGUAUCACCAUCAUGUACCAGCCUUCAAUAAUGGUCAGAUGGAACACACCCAGAGGAAAUGGAUGCACGUGAUGACAAGAAAACCAGAGUGGCCAGGAUGUAGGACACCUGGACUCUCAUUCAUGGCUGGUGGAAAUGUAAAAUGAUACGAUCACUUUUGAAAACUUCAGUAAGGAACUUUGCAGCUCCUUAUAAAGUUAAAUCCCUCUACCCUAUGACCCAGAAACUCCACUCCCAGGUAUUUAUCCAAGAGGAAAAAAAAUAUGUCUACCUAAAGAUUUGUACAAGAAUAUUUAUUCUGCUUCAUUCAUAAUAGCCCAAAACUCAAAUGUCUAUCAAUAGGAGAAUGGAUAAACAAAUUUUGGUAUACCCAUACAAUGGAAUACAACUCAGCAAUAAAACAGAAAGAACCACGGUACAUUUAACAACAUGAAUGAAUCUCACAAACACUAUGUUAAGUGAAAGAAGCCAGAUAUAAA